rnacentral:lncRNA from 1 species
CACCAUUUUAGGUGUCUGGUUCGAUCAAACAGAAGGAGGAGGGCGACCCCCACUCUCAAAACCCUAGCAACUCACUAAUCUCACAAAUUGAAGGCUCAAACCAAGUUAAAAUCGAAAAUCGAGCAUAGAUUAUUGAUCCCCAUUGCAAGGGGGUUGUAAGGUGUACCUUAUAUGCUUGCGAAGUUUGACUCUGACAAGCUAGGUAGGAGCUUGGAAAUGAACGGGUCAAAUGGAUACAAGUUCAAGUAUGAAGCUCGCAAGGAUGCAAGGUAAGUAUAACUUACACUAGUCAUAUAUUUUAGAAUGUUCUUUUGUCGUAUUGACUACGAAUAAGACAAAUGGUAAUUUAGUCACACGUUGACAAUAAUCGUUAGUUUUAAAAGACGCUUUCCUGCGUAAGACAUAAAGAGCCGAAAGUGGUAAUAAACGGUUUAUAAAUAAAAUGAGCAUACGGUGUUAAAAGGAGCGAGUCAUGUAGAUGAGAUGAUAAUAAAUAUUAUCUCGCAAAGAUAAACGGUCAAUUCGGCCAAACGGGUCAAAAGGUGUAGACAUCACCUUUUGACAAUAUCGACUAAUGAUUCUGGUGUCGAGUUAUAUGUUUACAGGAGUAGAUAUCCAAUGGAUACUCGCAUCGCUCUUAAUUAGCAAUUAUAAAGCAAGGUAUUAAACCGGGUUAGUAAGUUGAUCCGAGCCAGGUAUGUAUAAUAGAUUAACUCAUCAUGUAGAACUUGAAGUUCUAUGAAAGUUAGGCAAAAUAAAAAAAGGGCAUUCGGUUACCUUAAUAGGUAAACCGAAGGAUUUAAAUUAUAGACAGAAUGUUUUGAAAACAAGAUUUGGUUAAAAAUGAGAAAUUAGAAUCAAACAACAGGUUUGUUUGAUAAAAUCACAAACGGGUCAAAUUUGGUAAAAAGGGGUAAUAAGCCGAAGACUUAAAAGUCUUAAAUUUUGUUAAUCCAGAUGUUGGGUCUUGACUCCAUUUGAUGGAGGUUCAAUUUACAAUCACGUAGGAAGAAACGGUAGGUCAAACGGACAAGCGGAUUAAAAGUUAUGAAGGUUUCCGUUUUAGAAAUCGGCAAACUUGGAAAAUCUUGCAGAGGCCACCGUAAGUUACGGUAGCUACCGUAACUUACGGUAGCCUUAAAAAUCUUUACGCCUUAAACCCACUGAGUUACGGUGGAAGAAUCAACAUUCAGGGGCUACCGUAAAUUACGGUAGCCACCGUAAUUUACGGUAGACCCUGUAACAAAAUUUAUUUUAAUCAGUUUCGUUUCCCAGAACUCGUUAGACACGUUUAUAACCCCCGUAAGACUAACGCAUUUCUUGUUUAUGAAAUGUAGGUACAUUUCGGAUGCCGGAAGACGAUCAAGCUCAUUGGAGAACCGAACACGAUAAAGAUACAUGCUUCCGCACAGUGUCCCGUCGUAAAUUUUAAACGACGAAUUCAAUUACGUUAUGUCGAAUAACUUAUGAUUUGUAAAAGUUUUAAUAAACCCAUAUUUUUAUAGUAUGUGUAGUCUUAUCUACACAACUAAUUGGUGGUAAUUAUAUGUAAAACCGUUA